AGAGUUUGAUCCUGGCUCAGAAUGAACGUUGGCGGCGUGGAUUAGGCAUGCAAGUCGGACGGGCCGCAAGGCCAGUGGCGCAAGGGUGAGUAAGGCGACGGUAACCAACCCCGCAGUUGGGCAUAGCCGGGGGAAACUCCGGGUAAUUCCCAGCGACGCGUCGGCCCGGCAUCGGGCGGACGCCAAAGGUUUACUGCUGUGGGGACGGGCCGUUGUGGUAUUAGCUUGUUGGCGGGGUGACGGCCCACCAAGGCUGCGAUGCCUACCGGGCGUGCGAACGUGGCCCGGCACACUGGGACUGAGACACUGCCCAGACUCCUACGGGAGGCUGCAGUCGAGAAUCUUCGGCAAUGGGCGCAAGCCUGACCGAGCGACGCCGCGUGGAGGAUGAAUGCCUUCGGGUUGUAGACUCCUGUCGAGGGGGAGGACGGGGCAAC
rnacentral:rRNA from 1 species